CCUACGGUAGGCAGCAGUGGGGAAUAUUGCACAAUGGGGGAAACCCUGAUGCAGCGACGCCGCGUGAGUGAAGAAGUAUUUCGGUAUGUAAAGCUCUAUCAGCAGGGAAGAAAAUGACGGUACCUGACUAAGAAGCCACGGCUAACUACGUGCCAGAAGCCGCGGGAAUACGUAGGGGGCCAGCGUUAUACGGAGUUACUGUGAGUAAAGGGGGGGGAGAGGGAGGCAAAAGUAUGGAGUGAAACGCCGGGGCUCAACCCCGGGACGGAGUUUGAAACUGUGCAGCUAUAGUGCAGGAGAGGUAUGCGGAAUUCCUAGUGUAGCGGUGAAAUGCGUCGAUAUUAGGAGGAACACCAGUGGCGAAGGCGGCUUACUGGACUGUAACUGACGUUGAGGCUCGAAAGCGUGGGGAGCAAACAGGAUUAGAUACCCUAGUAGUC
rnacentral:rRNA from 1 species